rnacentral:rRNA from 1 species
CGGUCUGUCAAGUCGGAUGUGAAAUCCCCGGGCUCAACCUGGGAACUGCAUUCGAAACUGGCAGGCUAGAGUCUUGUAGAGGGGGGUAGAAUUCCAGGUGUAGCGGUGAAAUGCGUAGAGAUCUGGAGGAAUACCGGUGGCGAAGGCGGCCCCCUGGACAAAGACUGACGCUCAGGUGCGAAAGCGUGGGGAGCAAACAGGAUUAGAUACCCUGGUAGUCCACGCCGUAAACGAUGUCGACUUGGAGGUUGUGCCCUUGAGGCGUGGCUUCCGGAGCUAACGCGUUAAGUCGACCGCCUGGGGAGUACGGCCGCAAGGUUAAAACUCAAAUGAAUUGACGGGGGCCCGCACAAGCGGUGGAGCAUGUGGUUUAAUUCGAUGCAACGCGAAGAACCUUACCUACUCUUGACAUCCAGAGAACUUUCCAGAGAUGGAUUGGUGCCUUCGGGAACUCUGAGACAGGUGCUGCAUGGCUGUCGUCAGCUCGUGUU